rnacentral:rRNA from 1 species
GUAAGGAAUAUUGGACAAUGGGCGCAAGCCUGAUCCAGCCAUGCCGCGUGAGUGAUGAAGGCCUUAGGGUUGUAAAGCUCUUUCACCGAUGAAGAUAAUGACGGUAGUCGGAGAAGAAGCCCCGGCUAACUUCGUGCCAGCAGCCGCGGUAAUACGAAGGGGGCUAGCGUUGUUCGGAUUUACUGGGCGUAAAGCGCACGUAGGCGGUUUGUUAAGUCAGAGGUGAAAUCCCGGAGCUAAACUCCGGAACUGCCUUUGAUACUGGCAAGCUAGAGUCCGGAAGAGGUAAGUGGAACUCCUAGUGUAGAGGUGGAAUUCGUAGAUAUUAGGAAGAACACCAGUGGCGAAGGCGGCUUACUGGUCCGGAACUGACGCUGAGGUGCGAAAGCGUGGGGAGCAAACAGGAUUAGAUACCCGAGUAGUCC